AGCAACCCUAUCCAUCCAUCCGGCCAGGGGCCAGGGCCAUCGAGCGGAGGCGACGGCCAAGCAGCGGUGGCGCACUGCGGCGAGCGCCCCGCGGCCGAGCGCCGAGCGGUAAGCGGCGUGCUCCCAGCCGGCCAGGCGUGGCGGCACGGCGAGCGGCAGGCACCCCGCGCCCCGCGGCCAGGCACGGCGAGGGGCGAGCGGCAGGCGGCGCCCGCGGCCAGCCGGCCAGGCGCGGCGAGCGGAACAGAUGCAAAGCAGUGGUGCUGGCGUGCUGCGGCCGGUAGCUGCAGGGGGCCAGCCGGUCAGGCUGCCAGGGCGAGCAGUCGAGCACCCAGGCUGCGAGGCACCAAGCAGUGCGCUAGCAUAGCAAGAAAUUAGAUUGUUUCUUCGGAUGAAUAAUGGGUGUCACCGACACGCGUGGCGUCUAUUAGUUUCAUAAUCUGGCUUUUCAGUACGAAUAACCCACAUUUUUUAUUUUCCAUGAUGUAUUUUGUGAUUGAACGAUGUUUUAAUAUAAAACUACUUCAAACUAUCA